UGGGGAAUUUUGGACAAUGGGCGAAAGCCUGAUCCAGCAAUGCCGCGUGUGUGAAGAAGGCCUUCGGGUUGUAAAGCACUUUUGUCCGGAAAGAAAUCCUUGGCUCUAAUACAGUCGGGGGAUGACGGUACCGGAAGAAUAAGCACCGGCUAACUACGUGCCAGCAGCCGCGGUAAUACGUAGGGUGCAAGCGUUAACCGGAAUUACUGGGCGUAAAGCGUGCGCAGGCGGUUUGCUAAGACCGAUGUGAAAUCCCCGGGCUCAACCUGGGAACUGCAUUGGUGACUGGCAGGCUAGAGUAUGGCAGAGGGGGGUAGAAUUCCACGUGUAGCAGUGAAAUGCGUAGAGAUGUGGAGGAAUACCGAUGGCGAAGGCAGCCCCCUGGGCCAAUACUGACGCUCAUGCACGAAAGCGUGGGGGAGCAAACAGGAUUAGAUACCCCUGGUAGUCCACGCCCUAAACGAUGUCAACUAGUUGUUGGGGAUUCAUUUCCUUAGUAACGUAGCUAACGCGUGAAGUUGACCGCCUGGGGAGUACGGUCGCAAGAUUAAAACUUAAAUGAAUUGACGGGGUCAUAGCUGUUUCC
rnacentral:rRNA from 1 species